AGUGAACGCUGGCGGUAGGCCUAACGCAUGCAAGUCGAACGGCAGCACAGUAAGAGCUUGCUCUUACGGGUGGCGAGUGGCGGACGGGUGAGGAAUACAUCGGAAUCUACUUUUUCGUGGGGGAUAACGUAGGGAAACUUACGCUAAUACCGCAUACGACCUACGGGUGUAAGCAUGGGAUCUUCGGACCUUGCGCGAUUGAAUGAGCCGAUGCCGGAUUAGCUAGUUGGCGGGGUAAAGGCCCACCAAGGCGACGAUCCGUAGCUGGUCUGAGAGGAUGAUCAGCCACACUGGAACUGAGACACGGUCCAGACUCCUACGGGAGGCAGCAGUGGGGAAUAUUGGACAAUGGGCGCAAGCCUGAUCCAGCCAUACCGCGUGGGUGAAGAAGGCCUUCAGGUUGUAAAGCCCUUUUGUUGGGAAAGAAAAGCAGCAGGUUAAUACCCCGCUGUUCUGACGGUACCCAAAGAAUAAGCACCGGCUAACUUCGUG
rnacentral:rRNA from 1 species